rnacentral:rRNA from 1 species
UGAACGCUGGCGGUAUGCUUAACACAUGCAAGUCGAACGGUAACAGCAAGAGCUUGCUCUUGGCUGACGAGUGGCGGACGGGUGCGUAACGCGUAGGAAUCUGCCUGAUAGUGGGGGACAACUCGGGGAAACUCGAGCUAAUACCGCAUACGCCCUACGGGGGAAAGCGGGGGAUCUUCGGACCUCGCGCUAUCAGAUGAGCCUGCGUCGGAUUAGCUUGUUGGUGAGGUAACGGCUCACCAAGGCGACGAUCCGUAGCUGGUCUGAGAGGACGAUCAGCCACACUGGGACUGAGACACGGCCCAGACUCCUACGGGAGGCAGCAGUGGGGAAUAUUGGACAAUGGGGGCAACCCUGAUCCAGCAAUACCGCGUGUGUGAAGAAGGCCUGCGGGUUGUAAAGCACUUUCAGUUGGGAGGAAAAGUUCAAGUUUAAUACGCUUGAACCUUGACGUUACCAACAGAAGAAGCACCGGCUAACUCCGUGCCAGCCGCCGCGGUAAUAC